UUUAUGGUGAACAGUGGAUUAAGUUCAUGAAGGAUGGUGUUAAUGCCACUCCUCUCCCGACUGUUAACACUACUGGUUAUAUUGACCAUGCCGCUUUUCUUGGCACGAUUAACCCUGAUACCAAUAAAAUCCCUAAGCAUUUGUUUCAGGGUUAUUUGAAUAUCUAUAACAACUAUUUUAAAGCGCCGUGGA
rnacentral:rRNA from 1 species